rnacentral:rRNA from 1 species
CCUACGGGAGGCAGCAGUAGGGAAUAUUGCUCAAUGGGGGAAACUCUGAAGCAGCAACGCCGCGUGGAGGAUGAAGGUUUUCGGAUUGUAAACCUCUUUUGUUAGAGAAGAUAAUGACGGUAUCUAACGAAUAAGCACCGGCUAACUCCGUGCCAGCAGCCGCGGUAAUACGGAGGGUGCAAGCGUUACUCGGAAUCACUGGGCGUAAAGGGCGCGUAGGCGGGAUAGCAAGUCAGUGGUGAAAUCCUAUGGCUUAACCAUAGAAUUGCAUUUGAAACUGUUAUUCUAGAGUAUAGGAGAGGUUGGUGGAAUUCUUGGUGUAGAGGUAAAAUCCGUAGAGAUCAAGAAGAAUACUCGUUGCGAAGGCGACCUGCUGGAACGAAACUGACGCUGAGGCGCGAAAGCGUGGGGAGCAAACAGGAUUAGAUACCCUUGUAGUC